UUCAGGUACCGACCGGCACCGACGAAACCGGCCGACGCCGAACCGAUCCGACCGCUUCACAAGCCCACCGUAGAUGUCCGGCGCGGUGGUCGGCGACGAUCUGGACAAACCGAAGACGUCCGGUGCGGCAAGCGGUGGCUGUUUUGCACUCCGACGAGAAACCGCACCGCACCGUAGAUUGAAGAAAACCCAGAGAAGCCAUGAAAGCAAAUGCAAGGAAUAGGAAGAAGAAGAAAACGGCGCUGGACUUAACAUAAGGAUAGUCCCAGUAAGUCAGCAACGAAAGUCCUCAACCUCCGUCGCUUGCUGCCGCCACUUGCUGCCACCGCUUACUGCCACCGCAAUCUAGUGCUUGAUGCCGUGUUUUUUGGAGUUUCACCCUCUCCUCUCUCCUCUUUGUCACAAUAUUUUCAAGAGUUUCUAGUGAUGAUUCUGACUUCAGAUGCUCUUCCUUGCAAAUGUAAUGCUUUCUACCAGGUUUGUUUAUGUAAUUUAUUUUCAAUGGUUUUGUUUGAUCUUUUAUAGGUUUGGUUUAGUUUUUUUAUUUGGGUUUCUGUGAUUUGAAAUGGGUAUGUUUGAGAGAAAGAUUGUGAAUUUGUUUUCUUUUGAACUUUGUUUUUGGAA